GCAUGGUAAGGCCAGUCAGGAGGUGUGGGAUUCUGUGAUUUUGCGAUUCUGACCCAGCAGGACCUGUUAACCAGCUCUGGGCCACAGCUUCACCGCAGAAACUAUAAGCGGAGGAGAUCUCAAUUUCAAGGUUAGCAACCCUUCUCCGCUUUUCAUUGUACUAUAUUUAGAUCAUUGUCAUGUAGAUAACCCCUCUUCAAUGUAAUGAAUUGUUCUGAAACGGGGGCUUUUUGAGGGUGACCCAUUUUGGCAAGGCAUUAGAGAUACACUGUUUGGAGCUCCCUCCAAUGAGACACAGGACUGCCACCCCCCCAAACCUGUUCUCUUCAGCACUGGAGAGGUGUGAGCACGGUUCUUUUUCAGCCUUUUUCCAUUGUAGCCCCAGCGCAGCCUAACACUUUCCAAUGGCUUAAACUGUGGUGUUACCCUAGGGGAAUUGUGUUUCCAAAGCUAGGACUGUGUGUCAGUGUACUUUAACAUGAUGUCACCAUGGAGAUGUGGCCGUGCUGUUCUCUCUGGCCUAGCUGACCUGGCCCCUCCCGUGUCACCCAAACAUUGUGGGCGUCCAGAUGAUCACCACAGGACCUGUGGCCAUUGUGGCUGUCCCUGGAGAAAUGACCACCAUGUCAGGGGAGGCCGUCAAGCACGUGAGAAUCAAAUAUCACACACACACAUACAUACACACCCACUCAUUAAGGCAAAUAUUCUGUUUGCAUUUUUUGGUAUUACAUUUGAAUGUGUUAUACAGAUGACCUUUGUUUGUUGAUAAGGAACUUGGAGGCUCAGCGAACGUUCAGUAAUGCAGAGGUGGUCGUCGCUGGCCUGUGUAGCAUCUACUCAUUUCCUUACCACCAAUGAGGAGUACCAGUUAUUUCUCGAAGAUCCAACAUUGCAAAGGAGCAUCCACUAUCUCUGCAUAUAUCCAGAAGUGUUGAGGCCAUUGCAGAGGUGAGGACCACAUACUGCACAGGAAACUGGGACAAUGUUUGCACAGAUGCAUCUUGGGAGACAAGGUUUAACUGGGUAAAGAAUGGAGCAGAGAGUAAUGAGUGAUUGAGUGGCACAUCCUCCUGUCAGCCCAGACUUUCUCCUACCAGAUCAGACACUUUGGACACUACAAACAGAGGAAGGGGAUCACAGAUCUUGUGAUUCCAGUGAAUGGGGGUGUGUCAGAGCUCUUCGGAGUCUCCAAAAGAACGUAUUACUAAUAACCGCUGGUCACUGAGUAAGACCAAAUAGGGCACAUUGUAGUGUACACUUCUAGUGACCCACAUUUGAUGAUGUAUUUAUGUUCUCUAUUUCAAUGCAGUUCAAUGUAUGUACAGCAUUGAAGCACUAAAUCUAUUUAUUUUACCUUUACUUAACUGGGCAAGCCAGUUAAGAACAAAUUCUUAUUUUCAAUGAUGGCCUAGGAACAGUGGGUUAAGUGCCUGUUCAGGGGCAGAACGACAGAUUUGUACCUUGUCGGCUCGGGGAUAUGAACUUGCAACCUUUCAGCUACUAGUCCAACGCUCUAACCACUAGGCUACCCUGCCGCCCGGGGCGGACCAGUGCUUCAAUACGCAACCGGCCUUUGGAUUGACGGGCAACAAGCCAUUAUGCUGAAUGUGCUCAACAGGAUGACGGCGGAAAUAUGUUUUGAAUGUAGGGCAGCUUCAGUGCCAUUCCAUAGCUCAUCUCCCAUGGAAAUGAAAAUCAUUUGUUUAUGAUCAGUUGAGUCACGUUUUGUGUGUGUGUGUGUGUAAUUAUGUACAGUGCUUAUUUUGAAUAGAAUGAAAUGAUUUAAAUAUUCUGGCACACUUCUUAGUUUUAUGUAGAAGGAAUAAAGUGAAGAAAGCUAGUCUCAAAAUGCAAUUGGUUCAUUUAUCACAGGCAAUUACAGAUUAUGAAACGUUAGAAUUACCAAACUGCACGACACGUUGUUUCACAAAAGGGUUCCCAUUUCUCCUUACAUUUCAGAUGUGUAUUUAUUUCUCUCCUUUGUGAUUUUUCUUAGAUCAAUUAUUGAGGCACAAAGAAUUUGAAAUAUCCAAAAACAAUAUAACCAUACAAAUAUUGUCGGAUUUCUGGUAUAAAAAAACAAGUUGGAAGUGCUAUACACACUUUAAUACUGUCACUGCUUAGGCAUUUAUGCUUAUCAGAGUGUCGUUUUGUACGCUGAGAAGGGUGUUAUCACUUCCUAUGUCCAUGUUCGCAGGCCUAGGUUGGGUGUAAGGCAAUAAGGGAAAUGAGCUAAAUAGAAUGAAACAGAUCUUUGUCAAGAUGAUUGUCCUUAGCUAACACUCCAGACAUAUUACUCCAACGUAAAACAAUACAUUUUUGAACAAUAAAUAUACCGUGACUCAAACACUUUUCCGUAGACGACAAACGCUUAACAUCUUAAAA